GACGAGCCACACAAACGUUAUUCGGAAUUACUGGGCUGAAAGGGUGCGUAGGCGGUGCGGCAAGUUGGGUGUGAAAUCCCUCGGCUCAACCGAGGAAUUGCGCUCAAAACUACCGUGCUAGAGGGAGAUAGAGGAGUGCGGAACUUAGGGUGGAGCGGUGAAAUGCGUUGAUAUCGGAAGGAACAUCAGUGGCGAAAGCGACUUCCUGGACCAGUACCGACGUUCAGGCACGAAAGCGUGGGGAGCAAACAGG
rnacentral:rRNA from 1 species